AUUGAACGCUGGCGGCAGGCCUAACACAUGCAAGUCUAACGGUAACAGAAAGCAGCUUGCUGCUUUGCUGGCGAGUGGCGGACGGGUGAGUAAUGUCUGGGAAACUGCCUGAUGGAGGGGGAUAACUACUGGAAACGGUAGCUAAUACCGCAUAACGUCGCAAGACCAAAGAGGGGGACCUUCGGGCCUCUUGCCGUCGGAUGUGCCCAGAUGGGAUUAGCUAGUAGGUGGGGUAAAGGCUCACCUAGGCGACGAUCCCUAGCUGGUCUGAGAGGAUGACCAGCCACACUGGAACUGAGACACGGUCCAGACUCCUACGGGAGGCAGCAGUGGGGAAUAUUGCACAAUGGGCGCAAGCCUGAUGCAGCCAUGCCGCGUGUAUGAAGAAGGCCUUCGGGUUGUAAAGUACUUUCAGCGGGGAGGAAGGGAGUAAAGUUAAUACCUUUGCUCAUUGACGUUACCCGCAGAAGAAGCACCGGCUAACUCCGUG
rnacentral:rRNA from 1 species